UAACGAAUCUUCCGCAAUGGGCGAAAGCCUGACGGAGCAAUGCCGCGUGUGGGAUGAAGCGUCUCUGACGUGUAAACCACUGUCAGGGGUCGGAACCAAUGAUUGACCCCAAAGGAAGUGGCGACUAACUCUGUGCCAGCAGUCGCGGUAAUACAGAGGCCACAAGCGUUAGUCGGAAUCACUGGGCUUAAAGGGUGCGUAGGCGGAUCGGUAAGUGUUCUGUGAAAGCCCCCGGCUCAACCGAAGAACUGCAGGGCAUACUGCCGAUCUUGAGGCAGAUAGGGGUCGCGAGAACUGUAGGUGGAGCGGUGAAAUACGUAGAUAUCUACAAAAAUGCCGAUGGUAAAGACGCGCGACUGGGCCUGUCCUGACGCUGAGGCACGAAAGCGUAAGGAGCAAACA
rnacentral:rRNA from 1 species